AGAGACAGAGGGGGAGAGAGAGAGCAAGAGGGAGAGUGUGUGAGAGAGAGUUAGUUCAAGCCAAAAUGGCCGACAGAGUCUCUGCUGGUUUCUGAAUAUUUAAAAUACAAAAAAACAGAUAGACAAAAAGAAUUCAUUUUUUGGACCUUUUUUCAUUUCCAUUUCUACCUUGUAUGCCUCAAUUUGCUGGAUUUAAGCACUGCUGCACUUUAUGAGAGAGAAGGAGCAAGAAAGGGAAGAACAGUUAAUGGAAGACAAGAAAAGGAAGAAAGAGGAUAAAAAGAAAAAAGAAGCCACUCAGAAGGUGAGUUUAAUCAGUUAAGUCUGUCUUUAUAUCUGCUAGGCAUCCAGCAUCCAGAAGAAGAAACUGUCUUGGCUUGAAUAUCCUAUAUCUUUUAUUUUUUUUCCUGAGAUGUAGUCUUGCUCUGUCACCCAGGCUGGAGUGCAGUGGCAUGAUCUUGGCUCACUGCAACCUCCGCCUCCCAGGUUUAAGCGAUGCUCCUCUCUCAGCCUCCUGAGUAGCUGGGAUUACAGGCGCACACCACCACGCCUGGCUAAUUUUUG
rnacentral:sRNA from 1 species